UACAACAGGUGGCCAGGCUUGCUA
rnacentral:piRNA from 1 species